GCCCGGAUAGCUCAUUCGGUAUAGCAUCAGACUUUUAAUCUGAGGGUCCAGGGUUCGAGUCCCUGUUCGGGCG
rfam:Schistocephalus solidus strain NST_G2 genome assembly, scaffold: SSLN_scaffold0012942